GAAUUGAUUCUAAGGAAGCACGCAUUUCUUAGUGAUGGUGUAGGCGGUUCAAACAUAAGUUGAUGCAGGUAUAGGGCGAGCCGAUGCUGUUCACUAGGUUGUUGGAGCAGAUCGAGUAACUAAGGAGCUAGGCGGGGCCCUUGCGGCCCACAUUGAUCUCCACUACUAGUUGAUAGACUCAUACUUUCACUUACUUGAACUUUGUUAUUUGAGAUUGUAUAAGUCCUAUAUGGGCGCCACAUUUGGAAAUUGGUGAUGAUCAGAAUGUUUUUAUUU